UCUCUCGAAGAGGAGGCGGGACUUCCGCAGAAAGCGUCCUUUGGCUUAUCCGUGACGGCAACCGCGUGGAGGCACCCCAAAGGCUGGAACUGAGAGGGAGGGGUCUGCGGACGGUCGGCUGCCGGGCUGGGAAUUGAGCGGGGGGCCUAAAGGUUCUUACAUCGGGGCUGGAAGGAGCCCACGAGUUUCCUAGGGGGCUGUGGGGAUUGCCCCGGGCCUGUCCGAGAAGAUGCCGUACCUCGGCUCCGAGGACGUGGUCAAGGAGCUGAAGAAGGCUCUGUGCAACCCUCACAUUCAGGCUGAUAGGCUGCGCUACCGGAAUGUCAUCCAGCGAGUGAUUAGGCACAUGACUCAGGGCUUGGACGUGUCUGGUGUUUUCAUGGAAAUGGUGAAGGCGAGUGCCACUGUAGAUAUCGUUCAGAAGAAGUUGGUUUAUCUGUACAUGUGCACGUAUGCCCCCCUGAAACCAGAUCUGGCUCUCCUGGCCAUCAAUACACUCUGCAAAGACUGUUCGGACCCCAACCCAAUGGUGCGAGGGCUGGCACUACGGAGUAUGUGUAGUCUCAGGAUGCCGGGUGUGCAGGAAUAUAUCCAACAGCCUGUUCUCAAUGGUCUGCGGGAUAAGGCUUCAUACGUCAGGAGGGUGGCAGUCCUUGGUUGUGCCAAGAUGCAUAAUCUUCACGGAGAAUCUGAAGUGGAUGGUGCCUUGGUAAAUGAAUUAUAUAGUUUGCUGCGUGACCAGGACCCUAUCGUUGUGGUCAACUGCCUGAGGUCUCUAGAGGAAAUUCUGAAACAGGAAGGCGGCGUUGUCAUCAAUAAACCUAUUGCCCACCAUCUCUUAAAUCGAAUGUCAAAACUGGACCAGUGGGGCCAGGCCGAAGUAUUGAACUUCCUGCUACGCUACCAGCCGCGCAGUGAGGAGGAGCUGUUUGACAUCCUCAACCUGUUGGACAGCUUUCUCAAGAGCAGUAGCCCAGGGGUGGUGAUGGGAGCCACCAAACUCUUUCUGAUCUUGGCCAAACAGUUUCCCCACGUACAAACCGAUGUGCUCGUGCGCGUCAAGGGCCCUCUGCUGGCCGCCUGUUCUUCAGAGAGCCGCGAGCUCUGUUUCGCUGCCCUCUGCCACGUGCGCCAGAUCCUGCGUAGUUUGCCCGGCCACUUUAGCAGCCACUACAAGAAGUUUUUUUGCUCCUACUCGGAGCCACACUACAUCAAGCUGCAGAAGGUGGAGGUGCUGUGUGAGCUGGUGAACGACGAGAACGUGCAGCAGGUACUCGAGGAGCUCCGAGGGUACUGCACCGAUGUGUCUGCCGACUUGGCGCAGGCGGCCAUCUUUGCCAUAGGUGGCAUUGCCAGGACCUACACAGAUCAGUGCGUGCAGAUUCUGACAGAGUUGCUGGGGCUACGGCAAGAGCACAUCACCACAGUGGUGGUGCAGACUUUCCGAGAUCUGGUUUGGUUGUGUCCUCAGUGUACAGAAGCUGUGUGUCAGGCCCUGCCCGGCUGUGAGGAGAUCAUUCAAGAUGGCGAGGGGAAGCAGGCACUUAUUUGGCUACUUGGUGUCCACGGGGAAAGAAUUCCCAAUGCGCCUUAUGUGUUCGAAGACUUCGUCGACAACGUGAAGUCAGAGACAUUCCCAGCUGUUAAGAUGGAGCUCCUCACUGCACUGCUGCGCCUUUUCCUCUCGCGACCGGCUGAGUGCCAGGACAUGCUGGGACGGCUGUUACAUUACAGCAUAGAGGAAGAAAAGGACAUGGCAGUACGGGACCGAGGUCUCUUCUAUUACCGCCUCCUCUUAGCUGGCGUUGAGGAAGUUAAGCGGAUCCUGUGCAGCCCUAAAUCUGACCCUUCUCUUAGACUUUUGGAGGAUCAGGCAGAAAAGCCUGUGAAUAGCUGGGCCUCAGACUUCAACACACUGGUGCCAGUAUACGGCAAAGCCCGCUGGGCAACCAUCUGUGCGUGCCAGGGGACAGAGCGUCGUGGCCCAGACCUUUCUAACACUGCAUCCUUCGCCACAUCAGGACCCCUGAUUCCUGAAGAGAACAAGGAGAGGGCACAAGAACUCCCUGACUCAGGAGCCCUCACGCUGGUCCCCAAUCACCAGCUCACUGCUGAGUAUUUCGAGAAAACUUGGCUUAGCCUCAAAGUGGCCCAUCAGCAAGUGGUCCCUUGGCAGGGAGCAGUCCAUCCCGACACCCUCCAGAUGGCUCUGCAGGUAGUGAACAUCCAGACCAUCGCAGUGAGCAAGGCGGGGGCUCAGCCUUGGAAAGCCUACCUCAGUGCCCAGGAGGACACUGGCUGUCUAUUUUUAACAGAGCUGCUGUUGGAGCCCGAGAGCUUGGAAAUGCAGAUCUCUGUGAAACAAAGUGAGGCGAGGCCGGAGACCCUGAGCAGUUUUAUUUCUGUAUUAGAAACUGUGAUUGGAACAAUCGGAGACAUAAAAUCCUAACAGUCUUGAUGCCUAUCCUGAGAGAUGAGUAGCUCUCAGUUCCUUAGUUUUCCUCAUUGGAGCUGCUUGUAAGUCCAGAUACUAUCACAUGCACAGGAGAAUGGGAAACCUGGGAAUCACGAAUCUCAUGUUUUUGUCCAAAGACCAUUGACUCACUCCUCGCAUACCUAUUGGUGAAUGACCCCAUUUUUCCAGGUGAUGUUGUAAAAGUUCAUGUCGGUGAGGGGACGGGAAUGGGGGUGAGGCUAGGAUUGGGAUUCUUUUCUAAUCAGUUUUAGGGCAUUUGACUGAUUAAAGAUGCCUGAUGUGUGUGGAAACUGAUGGAGUCUGUGGGGGUCGUCUUUUCUUCCCUGGAUUGUUGCAGUAAACUCCUGACUGUUCUCAUAUUUCUAAUCCUGCUUCUUAGGCCAAAGUUCAGAGUCUUCAGUGUCAUGUGGCACCACUCCCCCAAACACCCUCUGUUCUGACAAAAGCAAACCACUUGCAUUUUCCUGAAUGUACCAGCUCUGUCUAACCUCUGUGCUUUGGCACCUGCUUUCAUUUCUUGCUGAAAACAUUGCCUCACCUUCAAAUCUCCUUUAUUUAAGUCAGCGUUCAGCUCAGUCAUGAGCUCUUCCAGGACAUUUUCUGUGAGCCUCACUGCCUUCGGAAGGAUCUCCUUCAAGCUGUGAAAGCAGUCAGUGCAUGUGUCUAGCAGUACUAUUGUAAUUCCUUUCUUGUCACUCGGCCUCAAUCUUCACUUGAUUCAUACCUGACCACAUUUUAUAAUUGAAACAAUUUAUGGCAAGAACAGAUUUAAUAAAAUUGUGGUAAAGUAUAAAUAACUAGAGAAUCCAGAACAUGGAAGAUGACAAUACCAGUGAAGACCAGCUGGAUUAGGGAUGGGGAAAUACACAAAUGUUCAGGCUUAAGGGCCUACACAGUUGAUAUAGCUGAGCCUCGGAUUUAGCUCUGUAAGUGAUUUGGCAGUCAGAGUGAAGAGAAAUAAUUAUAUAGUUGUCAUCGGAGAGGAAGAAACAUUCCAAACCUAACUUCUAAAAGAAAUUCACAUGUAGCUUCACCUAGGUGGCACUGACUGAUGUGUACACAAUUUCCAUGGGAAGUUACUUUCAUGUGACUGUUUCUUACGGUGUUCUUCAGUGAACACAGCACAUGACUUUGAACAUGGAGCUUAGUGAGAGGAUUUCUUCAAGGAGUUAGGAUAACAUGCUCCAAAUAUCACACAGCUUAACUCAAGGACUUCUGUUACCUAGAUACGGAGGUGGACCGCAUAUCCUUCAAGUAAUUUUUCCCCCAUCACUUCUCACAAUGAGGCUCUCAUUAGGAAUAUGUAACAGACAGCAUUGAAUUUUCUGUUCACCAGGUCGGAAUACUCUGGAAGGGCUGAUAGGUUUGAAUGCUGCUUCUGAGACCCAAGCCCAAAAUAUAGGUGUAGCUACCUUACGAAGGCAGCCUCUGUGG